AUGGAAGAGCAUAGCUGCAAGGACUGAGUGUGCUUGGUUGCCAAAAGCUCUGCCCCCUUUCCCACCCUGACCCCAAGCCCCCAAGGGGUUCCGGUGAUCACAGUGGGAUUUUCCUAAACUGUGCUGUGCAAUUGUCUUCCAAGAUGAUGCUUCGCAUGACACUUAUUCCCAUUCUGCCCCUUUCACGACAGGCAUGCAGGAGGUCUGUGAAAACAGGUCUAUCGUUUUUUUGUUUAGGCUCAAGUUCAGGUGCAAGCCUGGACUCCUCGGCUCACACGGUCCUGAGACUCCAGCUCAUUCCAAAGAGUGGUCAAGGAAUCAUCUUCCCCAGAGACACCCCAGUGGCAGACACUUGUUUUUUUAAGCUGUUUAAGACUGAAACAGAGUUUUCUGUGUUUGACCUUCAAGUUCAACUAAUGGGGAAGCCUGAGCCCAGGUCACGGGGGCUGUAUUAUUGCUAA
rnacentral:lncRNA from 1 species